UACAGAGGGUGCAAGCGUUGUCCGGAAUCACUGGGCGUAAAGGGCGCGUAGGCGGCCCGAUAAGUAGGGGGUGAAAUCUUGCGGCUCAACCGCAAGGCUGCCUUCUAGACUGUCGGGCUUGAGCACAGUAGAGGCAGGUGGAAUUCCCGGUGUAGCGGUGGAAUGCGUAGAGAUCGGGAAGAACACCAGUGGCGAAGGCGGCUACCUGGACCAGCACUGACACUGAGGCACGAAAGCGUGGGGAGCAAACAGG
rnacentral:rRNA from 1 species